rnacentral:rRNA from 1 species
UGGCGAACGGGUGAGUAACGCGUGAGGAACCUGCCUCAAAGAGGGGGACAACAGUUGGAAACGACUGCUAAUACCGCAUAAGCCCACGGGUCGGCAUCGACCUGAGGGAAAAGGAGCAAUCCGCUUUGAGAUGGCCUCGCGUCCGAUUAGCUGGUUGGUGAGGUAACGGCCCACCAAGGCGACGAUCGGUAGCCGGACUGAGAGGUUGAACGGCCACAUUGGGACUGAGACACGGCCCAG